GAUGAAGAACGUAGCGAAAUGCGAUAAGUAAUGUGAAUUGCAGAAUUCAGUGAAUCAUCGAAUCUUUGAACGCACAUUGCGCCCCUUGGUAUUCCGGGGGGCAUGCCUGUUCGAGCGUCAUUUCAACCCUCAAGCUCUGCUUGGUAUUGGGCUCCGUCCUCCUCGGACGCGCCUCAAAGACCUCGGCGGUGGCGUCUUGCCUCAAGCGUAGUAGAAACACCUCGCUUUGGAGUGCAUGGCGUCGCCAGCCGGACGACACCUUUUGUAUUUUCUCAAAGGUUGACCUCGGAUCAGGUAGGGAUACCCGCUGAACUUAAGCAUAUCAAUAAGCGGAGGA
rnacentral:misc_RNA from 1 species